rnacentral:rRNA from 1 species
CCUACGGGUGGCAGCAGUAGGGAAUAUUGCUCAAUGGGCGAAACCCUGAAGCAGCAACGCCGCGUGGAGGAUGAAGGUUUUCGGAUUGUAAACUUCUUUUGUUAGAGAAGAUAAUUACGGUAUCUAACGAAUAAUCCCCGGCUCACUCCGUUCCAGCAGCCGCGGCAAUACGGAGGGUGCAAGCGUUACUCGGAAUCACUGGGCGUAAAGAGCGCGUAGGCGGGAUAGCAAGUCAGAUGUGAAAUCCUAUGGCUUAACCAUAGAACUGCAGUUGAAACUGUUAUUCUAGAGUAUGGGAGAGGUAGGUGGAAUUCUUGGUGUAGGGGUGAAAUGCGUAGAGAUCAAGAAGAAUACUCAUUGCGAAGGCGGCCUGCUGGAACGUAACUGACGCUGAUGCGCGAAAGCGUGGGGAGCAAACAGGAUUAGAUACCCGUGUAGUC